UACAGAGGUCUCAAGCGUUGUUCGGAUUCAUUGGGCGUAAAGGGUGCGUAGGUGGCGCGCUAAGUCAGGUGUGAAAUUUCGGAGCUUAACUCCGAAACUGCAUUUGAUACUGGCGUGCUUGAGGACUGGAGAGGAGACUGGAAUUCACGGUGUAGCAGUGAAAUGCGUAGAGAUCGUGAGGAAGACCAGUGGCGGCGAAGGCGGGUCUCUGGACAGUUCCUGACACUGAGGCAGCGAAGGCCAGGGGAGCAAACGGG
rnacentral:rRNA from 1 species